GGGGAAUAUUGGACAAUGGGCGAAAGCCUGAUCCAGCCAUGCCGCGUGUGUGAAGAAGGCCUUUUGGUUGUAAAGCACUUUAAGCGAGGAGGAGGCUACUUAGAUUAAUACUCUAGGAUAGUGGACGUUACUCGCAGAAUAAGCACCGGCUAACUCUGUGCCAGCAGCCGCGGUAAUACAGAGGGUGCGAGCGUUAAUCGGAUUUACUGGGCGUAAAGCGUGCGUAGGCGGCUUUUUAAGUCGGAUGUGAAAUCCCUGAGCUUAACUUAGGAAUUGCAUUCGAUACUGGGAAGCUAGAGUAUGGGAGAGGAUGGUAGAAUUCCAGGUGUAGCGGUGAAAUGCGUAGAGAUCUGGAGGAAUACCGAUGGCGAAGGCAGCCAUCUGGCCUAAUACUGACGCUGAGGUACGAAAGCAUGGGGAGCAAAC
rnacentral:rRNA from 1 species